rnacentral:rRNA from 1 species
GACGAACGCUGGCGGCGUGCCUAAUACAUGCAAGUAGAACGCAGUUGCUAACGGGUGAGUAACGCGUAGGUAAAUGCCUCAUAGCUGGGGAUAACUAUUGGACACGAUAGCUAAUACCGCAUCCUGUGAGAUGGAACUUCGUUUGAUUGGCUAGUUGGUGAGGUAAAGGCUCACCAAGGAGACGAUACAUAGCCGACCUGAGAGGGUGAUCGGCCAAACUGGGACUGAUACACUGCCCAGAUUCCUAAUGGAUGCAGCAGUAGGGAGUCUUCGGCAAUGGACGGAAUUCUGACCUAGCAACGCUGCGUGAGUGAAGAAGGUUUUCGGAUCGUAAAGCGCUGUUGUUAGAGAAGCGUUAAAUAACCAGAAAGGGACGGCUAACUACGUGCCAGCAGCCGCGGUAAUUC